rnacentral:rRNA from 1 species
AUUGAACGCUGGCGGCAGGCCUAACACAUGCAAGUCGAGCGGAUGAAGGGAGCUUGCUCCUGGAUUCAGCGGCGGACGGGUGAGUAAUGCCUAGGAAUCUGCCUGGUAGUGGGGGAUAACGUCCGGAAACGGGCGCUAAUACCGCAUACGUCCUGAGGGAGAAAGUGGGGGAUCUUCGGACCUCACGCUAUCAGAUGAGCCUAGGUCGGAUUAGCUAGUUGGUGGGGUAAAGGCCUACCAAGGCGACGAUCCGUAACUGGUCUGAGAGGAUGAUCAGUCACACUGGAACUGAGACACGGUCCAGACUCCUACGGGAGGCAGCAGUGGGGAAUAUUCGACAAUGGGCGAAAGCCUGAUCCAGCCAUGCCGCGUGUGUGAAGAAGGUCUUCGGAUUGUAAAGCACUUUAAGUUGGGAGGAAGGGCAGUGAGUUAAUCCCUUGCUGUUUUGACGUUACCAACAGAGUAAGCACCGGCUAACUUCGUG